AAUUUUUUUGGUAUUUCUGUUUUUGUAAGAUCGGGUUGUUGUAUCGUGAGCGCAAUCAAAAAGCUCGUAAUCACUCUCUCUCUAGUUUCUCUCUCUGAAAAGCCGUGUACAGCCUCCGCAUUUAAAAAAUGUGCAGUGAUCACACCUAUAAAAACACAACACUAAAAUUAGUCCACAACAAUAAGCCGUUUUUUUGACACUUAUGUGCAUCAGUGGCGAUUGAACACUAG
rnacentral:lncRNA from 1 species